GACGAACGCUGGCGGCGUGCUUAACACAUGCAAGUCGAACGGAAAGGCCCUGCUUUUGUGGGGUGCUCGAGUGGCGAACGGGUGAGUAACACGUGAGUAACCUGCCCUUGACUUUGGGAUAACUUCAGGAAACUGGGGCUAAUACCGGAUAGGAGCUCCUGCUGCAUGGUGGGGGUUGGAAAGUUUCGGCGGUUGGGGAUGGACUCGCGGCUUAUCAGCUUGUUGGUGGGGUAGUGGCUUACCAAGGCUUUGACGGGUAGCCGGCCUGAGAGGGUGACCGGCCACAUUGGGACUGAGAUACGGCCCAGACUCCUACGGGAGGCAGCAGUGGGGAAUAUUGCACAAUGGGCGGUAGCCUGAUGCAGCAACGCCGCGUGCGGGAUGACGGCCUUCGGGUUGUAAACCGCUUUCGCCUGUGACGAAGCGUGAGUGACGGUAAUGGGUAAAGAAGCACCGGCUAACUACGU
rnacentral:rRNA from 1 species